GUGCCAGCAGCCGCGGUAAUACGAAGGGACCUAGCGUAGUUCGGAAUUACUGGGCUUAAAGAGUUCGUAGGCGGUUCAACAAGUCGGUCGUAAAAGUUUAGGGCUCAACCCUAAAAUGUCGAUCGAUACUGUUGUGACUAGGAUACGGUAGAGGUGAAUGGAAUUCCGAGUGUAGCGGUGAAAUGCGUAGAUAUUCGGAGGAACACCAGUGGCGAAGGCGGCUCACUGGCUCGAUACUGACGCUGAGGUACGAAAGUGUGGGGAGCAAACAGGAUUAGAUA
rnacentral:rRNA from 1 species